AGUGAACGCUGGCGGUAGGCCUAACACAUGCAAGUCGAACGGCCGCACAGUAAGAGCUUGCUCUUACGGGUGGCGAGUGGCGGACGGGUGAGGAAUACAUCGGAAUCUACUUUUUCGUGGGGGAUAACGUAGGGAAACUUACGCUAAUACCUCAUACGACCUACGGGUGAAAGCAGGGGAUCUUCGCACCUUGCGCGAUUGAAUGAGCCGAUGUCGGAUUAGCUAGUUGGCGGGGUAAAGGCCCACCAAGGCGACGAUCCGUAGCUGGUCUGAGAGGAUGAUCGGCCACACUGGAACUGAGACACGGUCCAGACUCCUACGGGAGGCAGCAGUGGGGAAUAUUGGACAAUGGGCGCAAGCCUGAUCCAGCCAUACCGCGUGGGUGAAGAAGGCCUUCGGGUUGUAAAGCCCUUUUGUUGGGAAAGAAAAGAAGCAGGUUAAUACCCCGCUGUUCUGACGGUACCCAAAGAAUAAGCACCGGCUAACUUCGUG
rnacentral:rRNA from 1 species